CCUACGUGUGGCAGCAGUCGAGAAUCAUUCACAAUGGGGGAAACCCUGAUGGUGCGACGCCGCGUGGGGGAAUGAAGGUCUUCGGAUUGUAAACCCCUGUCAUGUGGGAGCAAAUUAAAAAGUUAGUACCACAAGAGGAAGAGACGGCUAACUCUGUGCCAGCGGCCGCGGUAAUACAGAGGUCUCAAGCGUUGUUCGGAAUCACUGGGCGUAAAGCGUGCGUAGGCUGUUUUGUAAGUCGUGUGUGAAAGGCGCGGGCUCAACACGCGCACGGCACAUGAUACUGCGAGACUAGAGUAAGGGAGGGGGAACCGGAAUGCUCGGUGUAGCAGUGAAAUGCGUAGAGAUCGAGAGGAACACUCGUGGCGAAGGCGGGUUCCUGGACAUUAACUGACGCUGAGGCACGAAGGCGAGGGGAGCGAAAGGGAUUAGAUACCCGGGUAGUC
rnacentral:rRNA from 1 species